AUCGCUUCUCGGCCUUUUGGCUAAGAUCAAGUGUAGUAUCUGUUCUUAUCAGAAGAGAUUUUGUGAGCUCAAUGUAUUUUAAAUUGUCUGCAGCACAAUAAGAUGCCGUUCUUUUAACCAUAU
ensembl:snRNA U2 U2 spliceosomal RNA